AUACGAAGGGGGCUAGGCGUUGCUCGGAAUUACUGGGCGUAAAGCGCAUGUAGGCGGACAUUUAAGUCAGGGGUGGAAAUCCCGGGGCUCAACCUCGGAACUGCCUUUGAUACUGGGUGUCUAGAGUGUGGAAGAGGUAAGUGGAAUUCCGAGUGUAGAGGUGAAAUUCGUAGAUAUUCGGAGGAACACCAGUGGCGAAGGCGGCUUACUGGUCCAUUACUGACGCUGAGGUGCGAAAGCGUGGGGAGC
rnacentral:rRNA from 1 species